AACGCACAUUGCGCCCUCUGGUAUUCCGGGGGGCAUGCCUGUUCGAGCGUCAUUACAACCCUCAAGCUCUGCUUGGUAUUGGGCGUCACCACUUGGUGCACCCUAAAAUCAGUGGCGGUGCCACCUGGUUUCUAGCGUAGUAAUACUUCUCGCUAUGGAGUCUAGGUGUGCUCUUGCCAUCAACCCCUAAUUUUACAGGUUGACCUCGGAUCAGGUAGGGAUACCCGCUGAACUUAA
rnacentral:misc_RNA from 1 species